GUAGCGCGAGUGUCUUCAGGGACGCUUAACGGCCGGCUAUUUUGUUCCAAGACGCAGCAGAAAUGGGUUGUUGGUUGUGACCGGUUGUGACGUUUCUCACGACAAAAUUAAAAGAUGAUUUAGCACGUAGAAACCAAUUUGCCAAAUCAUUCAACUCAGACUUGGAAGUGCCUGUACAUUUCCGAAAUGGCGUGCCUCGUGUGUCUCGCUGCCUGUUCUUAGGCGUACGUCUCAUCCCAUGCAACAGAAAAAAGUAUAACAAACACUUCUUCAACGAUGUUUGGUUACCUUGUUUCAGCCAAAUGGUGAAAGGUGUGAUGAAGACAGAUUGAACCAUUGUAUGCAGCAUGCGGUUGCAGUGUAAUCCAGAAGUUGCUGUGAUGUUGUAGCUGAGCUGUUCCAUCUGGGUUCCUGACUUCCAAAUUUUUGUGUUGUCGUUUUCAUCCAUGCCAUGAAAUUGCUCUGUGUUAACUGUGUGCAGACUUAAAAGUUUGAUCUGUUGUCUUUUGAGUUUUCAUUCAAUCAUGCAGUAUACAACUGAGGCAACCUGAUCAAUAUCAGGUUUGACACAGUCGAGAACUGCUAGAUUAAACAAGCUUUCUGCGCCAAACAAAUAAUAACUUGCACAUAACUUG